GCAUUAAGUACCCCGCCUGGGGAGUACGGCCGCAAGGCUAAAACUCAAAGGAAUUGACGGGGCCCCGCACAAGCGGCGGAGCAUGCGGAUUAAUUCGAUGCAACGCGAAGAACCUUACCUGGGUUUGACAUAUAUCGGAAACGUUCAGAGAUGGGCGCCCCGUAAGGUCGGUAUACAGGUGGUGCAUGGCUGUCGUCAGCUCGUGUCGUGAGAUGUUGGGUUAAGUCCCGCAACGAGCGCAACCCUCGUCCAAUGUUGCCAGCGGGUUAUGCCGGGGACUCAUUGGAGACCGCCGGGGUCAACUCGGAGGAAGGUGGGGAUGACGUCAAGUCAUCAUGCCCCUUAUGUCCAGGGCUUCACGCAUGCUACAAUGGCCGGUACAAAGAGUUGCGAGCCUGUGAGGGUGAGCGAAUCUCAAAAAGCCGGUCUCAGUUCGGAUUGGGGUCUGCAACUCGACCCCAUGAAGUCGGAGUCGCUAGUAAUCGCAGAUCAGCAACGCUGCGGUGAAUACGUUCCCGGGGCUUGUACACACCGCCCGUCAAGUCAUGAAAGUCGGUAACACCCGAAGCCGGUGGCCUAACCCGUUUGGGGGGGAGCUGUCGAAGGUGGGACUGGUAAUUAGGACUAAGUCGUAACAAGGUAACC
rnacentral:rRNA from 1 species